rnacentral:rRNA from 1 species
UACGGAGGGUGCAAACGUUGCUCGGAAUCAUUGGGCGUAAAGCGCACGUAGGCGGUCUUGUAAGUCGGGAGUGAAAGCCCUGGGCUCAACCCAGGAAGUGCUCUCGAAACUGCGAGGCUUGAGUAUGGAAGAGGGUCGCGGAAUUCCCGGUGUAGAGGUGAAAUUCGUAGAUAUCGGGAGGAACACCAGUGGCGAAGGCGGCGACCUGGGCCAAUACUGACGCUGAGGUGCGAAAGCGUGGGGAGCAAACAGG